rnacentral:rRNA from 1 species
UACGGAGGCCCCAAGCGUUGUUCGGAUUUAUUGGGCGUAAAGGGUGCGUAGGCGGCAUCGUAAGUCUGGUGUGAAAGGCGUGGCUCGACCCGCAGCACUGCAUUGGAUAUGCUGCGAUGCUGGAGGACUGGAGAGGAGAAUGGAAUUCACGGUGGAGCAGUGAAAUGCGUAGAUAUCGUGAGGAAGGCCAGUGGCGAAGGCGAUUCUCUGGACAGUACCUGACGCUGAGGCACGAAGGCUGGGGGAGCGAACAGG